AUUCUACUCCCUCCGUUGCACAAUACAUGCCUUCUAUUUGUCAAAAUAUAUAUGUAUCUAGACAUGUUUUAGUAUAUAGGUACAUCCAUUUUUGGACAAAUGGAAGUCAAGUAUUUUGGAAUGGAGGGAGUACACA
rfam:Triticum aestivum genome assembly, contig: Triticum_aestivum_CS42_TGACv1_scaffold_320718_4BL